AAAAAGAUAAGCUAAUUAAGCUAAUGGACUCAUAUUCCAUUUAUAAAGGAAAAUCCUUUUCUUUUUA
rnacentral:tRNA from 1 species